rnacentral:lncRNA from 1 species
AAAAUAUAAUUUUAUUUGUAUAUUUUGUAGAAUUUGAUUGUGUAUAUAUAAAAUAUAUAUUUUAUUUAGUUAUAAUCAUUUAAUUUGAUAUAGAAAUAGAGGUACUUGUAGUAGAUUAGAAAAUUCAAAAUUAUUUAAGGUAAAACUUUUAUUUGACUAUAAUAACCUAUUUUGAUAGAAAUUUAAAAAUAAUUUUAUUUGUAUAUUUUGUAGAAUUUGAUUGUGUAUAUAUAAAAUAUAUAUUUUAUUUAGUUAUAAUCAUUUAAUUUGAUAUAGAAAUAGAGGUACUUGUAGUAGAUUAGAAAAUUCAAAAUUAUUUAAGGUAAAACUUUUAUUUGACUAUAAUAACCUAUUUUGAUAGAAAAAUAAGAAGAAUUAUGGUAGAUUAAUUAAGUUUGAUUUAUUAAACUUUAAAUUAAUUUAAAAAUUCAAUUUGUAUUGGUUGAUUAUUAUAAAAUUAUUUUAUAAAUGGUUAUUUUAAAUA